UGAAAGGCCAAGGCAGGACACAGAGGAAGAGCCAGGAUGGCCAACAACAGUCUGCUUUCAUUAAGAACAGUAGAGCACCCAAACAGAGUCGGCUCUGGUGGGUCACAUUGUGUUGGGAGAAGGUUCAAAGACAUGUUAUUGAUAACAAUAAAAAGUUGUCUCUGUGCAGUGUUGAUAAAUGGAGGUAAAAGUCCUAGAGCCAGAGCAGCUCUGACUAACAGAUGGCAGAAUAUUGACGUCCUGGUGUCGCGUAUUGCAGCCACGACACAGGCCAAUGCGGACCACAGGACCUGAGCCCUAGGACCAUGCCUCAGGACUACCUGGUAUGAUG
rnacentral:lncRNA from 1 species